GAUGAACGCUGGCGGCGUUCCUAAUACAUGCAAGUCGAGCGAACAGACGAGGAGCUUGCUCCUCUGACGUUAGCGGCGGACGGGUGAGUAACACGUGGAUAACCUACCUAUAAGACUGGGAUAACUUCGGGAAACCGGAGCUAAUACCGGAUAAUAUAUUGAACCGCAUGGUUCCAUAGUGAAAGACGGUUUUGCUGUCACUUAUAGAUGGAUCCGCGCCGCAUUAGCUAGUUGGUAAGGUAACGGCUUACCAAGGCAACGAUGCGUAGCCGACCUGAGAGGGUGAUCGGCCACACUGGAACUGAGACACGGUCCAGACUCCUACGGGAGGCAGCAGUAGGGAAUCUUCCGCAAUGGGCGAAAGCCUGACGGAGCAACGCCGCGUGAGUGAUGAAGGUCUUCGGAUCGUAAAACUCUGUUAUUAGGGAAGAACAAAUGUGUAAGUAACUAUGCACGUCUUGACGGUACCUAAUCAGAAAGCCACGGCUAACUACGUG
rnacentral:rRNA from 1 species